UGGGGAAUAUUGCACAAUGGAGGGAACUCUGAUGCAGCGACGCCGCGUGAACGAAGAAGGCUUUCGAGUCGUAAAGUUCUUUUAUAUGGGAAGAUAAUGACGGUAUCAUAAGAAAAAGCCCCGGCUAACUACGUGCCAGCAUCCGCGGUAAUACGUAGGGGGCUAGCGUUGUCCGGAAUCACUGGGCGUAAAGGGUUCGCAGGCGGAAAUGAAAGUCAGGUGUAAAAGGCAGUAGCUUAACUACUGUAAGCAUUUGAAACUGCAUAUCUUGAGAAGAGUAGAGGUAAGUGGAAUUUUUGGUGUAGCGGUGAAAUGCGUAGAUAUUAAAAAGAAUACCGGUGGCGAAGGAGACUUACUGGGCUCAUUCUGACGCUGAGGAACGAAAGCGUGGGUAGCAAACAGG
rnacentral:rRNA from 1 species